GACCCCAAGUAGCUCAGUUGUUAGCACUAAUGACUGGGAUUCGUAAGGUCGCCGGUUCGAAUCCUGCUGUGUUCA